rnacentral:rRNA from 1 species
AUUGAACGCUGGCGGCAGGCCUAACACAUGCAAGUCGAGCGGAUGAAGAGAGCUUGCUCUCUGAUUCAGCGGCGGACGGGUGAGUUAUGCCUAGGAAUCUGCCUGGUAGUGGGGGACAACGUUUCGAAAGGAACGCUAAUACCGCAUACGUCCUACGGGAGAAAGUGGGGGAUCUUCGGACCUCACGCUAUCAGAUGAGCCUAGGUACGAUUAGCUAGUUGGUGAGGUAAAGGCUCACCAAGGCGACGAUCGUUAACUGGUCGGAGAGGAUGAUCAGUCACACUGGAACUGAGACACGGUCCAGACUCCUACGGGAGGCAGCAGUGGGGAAUAUUGGACAAUGGGCGAAAGCCUGAUCCAGCCAUGCCGCGUGUGUGAAGAAGGUCUUCGGAUUGUAAAGCACUUUAAGUUGGGAGGAAGGGCAGUAAGUUAAUACCUUGCUGUUUUGACGUUACCGACAGAAUAAGCACCGGCUAACUUCGUGCCAGCCGCCGCCGUAACAC